CUCUCCUUUUACCACUUGUUCCCCAUCAUGACCUUUUUCUACAACACUAAAAUGAGGCAUUUUGAAUUCAUAAUUUUUUCUUUACUAUUUUCUUCACCUUUUCUGACUGCCUCCGCAGAGCAAUGUGGUGUGCAGGCAGGAGGUGCGCUUUGUGCCGCGGGACUCUGUUGCAGCAAAUUUGGGUGGUGUGGUUACACUGAUGCCCAUUGUGCUCCCGGCAAUUGUCAAAGCCAGUGUCGUGACAGCCCCGGACCUUCUGGGGACCUUAGCGGUGUCAUUUCAAAAUCCAUGUUUGAUCAGAUGCUGAAUCAUCGCAACGAUUAUGCUUGUCAAGGAAAAAAUAAUUUCUAUAGCUACAAUGCAUUUAUUAGUGUUGCUAGGUCUUUUCCUGGCUUUGGUACAACUGGUGAUAUCAAUGCCCGUAAAAGGGAAAUUGCUGCUUUCUUUGCCCAAACCUCUCAUGAAACUACUGGAGGAUGGCCUACGGCAUCAGAUGGACCAUAUGCAUGGGGUUACUGCUUCCUUAGAUAACAGGGUAGCCCGGGCGAUUACUGUACACCAAGUAGUAAAUGGCCUUGUGCUCCUGGAAGGAAAUAUUUCGGACGAGGCCCAAUUCAAAUUUCACACAACUACAACUAUGGGCCAUGUGGAAGAGCCAUUGGAGCGGACCUUUUAAACAAUCCUGAUUUAGUAGCCACAGAUCCAGUCAUUUCAUUCAAAUCGGCUAUCUGGUUCUGGAUGACCCCUCAAUCACCAAAGCCUUCUUGCCAUGAUGUCAUCAUUGGAAGAUGGCAACCAUCUAAUGCUGACCAACCGGCUAAUCGCCUCCCUGGAUUCGGUGUUAUCACAAUAUCAUCAAUGGAGGCUUGGAAUGUGGUCAUGGGAAUGAUAACAGGGUUCAGGAUCGAAUUGGAUUUUACAGGAGAUAUUGUGAAAUUCUUGGAGCUAGUCCUGGUAACAAUUUCGAUUGUGACAACCAACGGUCCUUUGAAAACGGACUCUUAAUCGAUACUAUGUAACAACUUCAUCCCUUGUUUUGUUGUAUUCUCUUGUAACCUAUAAUGUCUCAGCUAUAAAUAAAUUGUGAUUAUAGUCUGAA